AAAAAAAAAAAAAAAAAACUUAUAGAAAUGUUGCCAAAGAGUAUCAUCAGUAAUCAGCUAUACAAAAAUAAAUACAUCAAUAAAAAAUAGUAACUCAUUAAGAUAAAUUAUUAGUUGAUCAGCACUCAGCAUUCCCAAGAGCAAGUGAUAGAUAUGGAUCAUAAGAAAAUAAAAAAAUCCUAUUUAGCCUAGAGGUAGUAGAUAUGUGCACAUACAUUUAUAAGCAAAUAAAAAGAAGAGAAAAAUAAUGAACAUAACAAGAACAUCCGAGAAACUUGAGCUUAUGGUGGAGUAACGUUGUCAGCCCAUUGGCGAAGCCAGUCACUGGAAUCCCAAAAAGAUGGUUCUUCAAAUGACUGGACAGGAGCUUCAGAAAGAAUUGAUUGCACUUCUUGUCUCCUUUCGGACAUAUGAUUCAACUCUCUGUCCUUCUUCAAUUUGUAUUGUUCGCAAGCUUCAAGAUAUGAU
rnacentral:misc_RNA from 1 species